UACGAAGGGGGCUAGCGUUGCUCGGAAUUACUGGGCGUAAAGCGCACGUAGGCGGCUUUCUAAGUCGGAGGUGAGAUCCUGGAGCUCAACUCCAGAACUGCCUUCGAUACUGGAGAGCUCGAGUCCGGGAGAGGUGGAGGUGGAACUGCGAGUGUAGAGGUGAAAUUCGUAGAUAUUGCAAGAACACCAGUGGCGAAGGCGGCUCACUGGCCCGGUACUGACGCUGAGGUGCGAAAGCGUGGGGAG
rnacentral:rRNA from 1 species